rnacentral:lncRNA from 1 species
CAGUGUUACCAGCCCUACCUGAAAACACCUAUUUGGAAACUGGUCUUUUCAUGUUUUUUCACAGUGGCCACAACAGAGACAAGCUUCUUGGAGAUAAUGGUUGCAGGUGAAGGUCCACCUAACUGGUGGUUGUCUGAAUCCAAUGAAAUGAUCCCCAGGUCUUGUGAAGCUGACAGUAAUGGCACCUGCUGAAUGCAUAGAAACAUGACAAAUGUGAAUAAGAAAUGAUGCUGUAAUAAGAAGGGAUCACAGAGUAAAAGAAGAAAUGUCACCAUCUUCAUUCCAUUUAAAAGGUAAAUUGAUGUUAUAUUCUGAUGUCAAAUUGCCUAGGAUGUAAGCAUUUCUUCUCAAAGGAGAUGUGUUA